rnacentral:rRNA from 1 species
UACGUAGGGGGCAAGCGUUGUCCGGAAUCACUGGGCGUAAAGAGCACGUAGGCGGUCUAUUAAGUUAGGUGUGAAAGUUUGCAGCUUAACUGUAAAAGUGCACUUAAAACUGAUAGACUUGAGUCUCGGAGAGGUAAGCGGAAUUCCUAGUGUAGCGGUGAAAUGCGUAGAGAUUAGGAAGAACACCGGUGGCGAAGGCGGCUUACUGGACGAGUACUGACGCUCAGGUGCGAAAGCGUGGGGAGCAAACAGG